UACAGAGGUCUCAAGCGUUGUUCGGAUUCAUUGGGCGUAAAGGGCGCGUAGGCGGCGAGGUAAGUCUGGUGUGAAAUCUAGGAGCUCAACUCCUAAACUGCACUGGAUACUGCUUUGCUUGAGGACUGGAGAGGAGAUUGGAAUUCACGGUGUAGCAGUGAAAUGCGUAGAUAUCGUGAGGAAGACCAGUGGCGAAGGCGGAUCUCUGGACAGUUCCUGACGCUGAGGCGCGAAAGCGUGGGGAGCAAACAGG
rnacentral:rRNA from 1 species